AACCCAUAGUGAGGACACCUUCUUAAUAAAUCCUUGCUCAUCUCCCAUGCAUCAUAUAGAGUCUCUAAAUCGAUUUGAACAAAGAAAGAGAUAUCAUUCCUCAACUU
rfam:Gossypium arboreum cultivar AKA8401 contig_3964_5, whole genome shotgun sequence.